rnacentral:rRNA from 1 species
UACGGAGGGCGCAAGCGUUGUUCGGAAUCAUUGGGCGUAAAGCGCGUGUAGGCGGCUUGGCAAGUCGGGUGUGAAAGCCCGGGGCUCAACCCCGGAACUGCAUUCGAAACUGCCUCGCUGGAGUCCCGGAGAGGAAGGCGGAAUUCCCGGUGUAGAGGUGAAAUUCGUAGAUAUCGGGAGGAACACCAGUGGCGAAGGCGGCCUUCUGGACGGUGACUGACGCUGAGACGCGAAAGCGUGGGGAGCAAACAGG